rnacentral:rRNA from 1 species
CCUACGGGAGACUGCAGUGAGGAAUCUUGGUCAAUGGACGAGAGUCUGAACCAGCCAAGUAGCGUGAAGGAUGAAUGCCCUAUGGGUUGUAAACUUCUUUUAUAUGGGAAUAAAACAGGGUAUGCAUACCCUCUUGUAUGUACCAUAUGUAUAAGGAUAGGCUAACUCCGUGCCAGCCGCCGCGGUAAUACGGAGGAGCCGAGCGUUAGCCGGAUUUAGUGGGUUUAAAGGGAGCGUAGGUGGAUUGUUAAGUCAGUUGUGAAAGUUUGCGGCUCAACCGUAACAUUGCAUUUGAAACUGGCAGUCUUGAGGACAGUAGAGGUGGGCGGAAGUCGUGGUGUAGCGGUGAAAUGCUUAGAUAUCACGAAGAACUCCGAUUGCGAAGGCAGCGCACUGGACUGCAACUGACACUGAUGCUCGAAAGUGUGGGUAUCAAACAGGAUUAGAUACCCCAGUAGUC